rnacentral:rRNA from 1 species
UACAGAGGGGGCAAGCGUUGUUCGGAAUUACUGGGCGUAAAGGGCGCGUAGGCGGCCUUCUAAGUCGAACGUGAAAUCCCCGGGCUCAACCCGGGAACUGCGUCCGAUACUGGAAGGCUUGAAUCCGGGAGAGGGAUGCGGAAUUCCAGGUGUAGCGGUGAAAUGCGCAGAUAUCAGGAGGAACACCGGUGGCGAAGGCGGGUCUCUGGGCCGAUACUGACGCUGAGGAGCGAAAGCGUGGGGAGCAAACAGG